AUGCACGCUAGCUACAGGCUUCACCCCUGCAAGUCGCGGGGAAACGACAUCGAAAGCUUGCUUUUGAUGGGCGUCGACCGGCGCACGGGUGAGUAACGCGUAUCCAACCUGCCCAUCACUUGGGAAUAACCUUGCGAAAGUAAGACUAAUACCCAAUGAUAUCCCACGAAGGCAUCGGAAUGGGAUUAAAGAUUUAUCGGUGAUGGAUGGGGAUGCGUCUGAUUAGCUUGUUGGCGGGGUAACGGCCCACCAAGGCAACGAUCAGUAGGGGUUCUGAGAGGAAGGUCCCCCACAUUGGAACUGAGACACGGUCCAAACUCCUACGGGAGGCAGCAGUGAGGAAUAUUGGCCAAUGGGCGAGAGCCUGAACCAGCCAAGUAGCGUGCAGGAAGACGGCCCUAUGGGUUGUAAACUGCUUUUAUAAGGGAAUAAAGUGGGUCACGUGUGACUUUUUGCAUGUACCUUAUGAAUAAGGACCGGCUAAUUCCGUG
rnacentral:rRNA from 1 species